AACGAACGCUGGCGGCGCGCCUAACACAUGCAAGUCGAACGAGAAGGCGUAGCAAUACGCUUGUAGAGUGGCGAACGGGUGAGUAAUACGUGGGUGACCUACCCUCGAGUGGGGAAUAACCCGCCGAAAGGCGGGCUAAUGCCGCGUACGCUUCCGUCCUCACGGGGACGGAAGGAAAGCUGUACCGUGGGUACGGCGCUCAAGGAUGGGCUCACGUCCUAUCAGCUUGUUGGUAGGGUAACGGCCUACCAAGGCUACGGAACGGGUAGCUGGGUCUGAGAGGACGAUCAGCCACACUGGCACUGCGACACGGGCCAGACUCCUACGGGAGGCAGCAGUGA
rnacentral:rRNA from 1 species